CGUGUAGGCGGGUCUUUAAGUCAGGGGUGAAAUGCCAAGGCUCAACCUUGGAACUGCCUUUGAUACUGGAGAUCUUGAGCCCGGGAGAGGUGAGUGGAAUUGCGAGUGUAGAGGUGAAAUUCGUAGAUAUUCGCAAGAACACCAGUGGCGAAGGCGGCUCACUGGCCCGGAACUGACGCAGAGACGCGAAAGCGUGGGAGCAAACA
rnacentral:rRNA from 1 species